AAAUCCCACACCGGGAAUCGAACCCGAGCCUCCUGGGUGAGAGCCAAAUAUCCUAGCCACUAGACCACGUGAUU
rnacentral:tRNA from 1 species